UACGUAGGGUGCGAGCGUUGUCCGGAAUUAUUGGGCGUAAAGAGCUUGUAGGCGGUUUGUCGCGUCUGCCGUGAAAGUCCGGGGCUCAACUCCGGAUCUGCGGUGGUACGGGCAGACUAGAGUGAUGUAGGGGAGACUGGAAUUCCUGGUGUAGCGGUGAAAUGCGCAGAUAUCAGGAGGAACACCGAUGGCGAAGGCAGGUCUCUGGGCAUUAACUGACGCUGAGGAGCGAAAGCAUGGGGAGCGAACAGG
rnacentral:rRNA from 1 species